AGCGCGUCUUCGUCUUCCUCCUGCACCGUCGUCGUCUUCCUCUCCUCACGCCGAGCUUCCUCUUGCACAGCCUUCUCACACAGCGUCUAGCAGAGAAAGAAAAAGGAAGAACGAAGGGGAAAGAGGAAGAAGUGAAGAAAGGGGAAAGAGGAAGAACAAAGGGGAAAGAGCAUCGUCCGUCGCCCACCACCUCACGCCCAGCACCGUCGUCGUCUUCCUCUCCUCACGCCCAGCUUCGUCUUUCUCCCUCUCACUCGCCUCUCCCUCCUGCCGCAAGCCCGCAGCCCGCAGCUGCCUCUUUCGCCCUCUCACUCUCCUGCUCCCUCAUCCUCUCUCUCGUCCUCUGUUCUUGAUAUCUGGUUGAUGGGCAUCUGUUUUUCCCUUUGAUCGUGACUCUCCGUGAGUUAUUUUGAGUGUCUCGGAAGCUUUUGAUUUUGUUUGGUGCUCUUGAUUUUGUUUGGUGCUCUUUGCUCUGGAUUUCCUGAGAGUCGAUUCCGUGGGUUUCUUCCGUCUGUUCAAUCGGUUUCUUGUUCUAACUUGGUAAAAAGCGGUGUUCCUUAAUUUGCCUCUGCAAGACAACUUGUUUGGAAAAUCAACCUUGCUUUUUUCUUUCAUUCUUGUUCUGCAGGACCGAUACUGUUGGUCUGUCUUCUGGAGUUCUGAGUGAUGGUUGCUGGCUGAAGCCACCAUUUCUACUGCUGCCACCGUUUCUACUGCUGCUGUUGGUGAAUCGGAUGCGUGGAGUUUACUUGUGUUUAUCGUUCGGAUGGGUGGAUAAAAUUGUCAACCCCCAACAGCCUUCCUAUGAAAUUUGGUGCUUGCAAAUUUUGUGCAAUAUCAAAGGAACAACAGUUGAACAGGUCACAGUCUCAGAAGUCCAAAACGUCGAGUUCAGUGGCAGCAGCAAAAAUACGUGCAACAAGGGUACUUUUGCUUCUUGAAUACGGAUUAUGAGAUGCCUGUUAUUUGCGAUUCAACCAGAAUGGAAUGAAAAUUUGACGCUUUCAGUUUCUGAUCCCAUUUUGCUGGUCAAGAUUGUA